rnacentral:rRNA from 1 species
AAUGAACGCUGGCGGCGCGCCUAAUACAUGCAAGUCGAGCGAGAAGACGUAGCAAUACGUUUGUAAAGCGGCGAACGGGUGAGGAAUACAUGGGUAACCUACCCUCGAGUGGGGAAUAACUAGCCGAAAGGUUAGCUAAUACCGCGUACGCUCCUUGGACUUCGGUUCAGGGAGGAAAGCGAUACCGUGGGUAUCGCGCUCUUGGUUGGGCUCAUGUCCUAUCAGCUUGUUGGUGAGGAACGGCUCACCAAGGCUUCGACGGGUAGCUGGUCUGAGAGGACGAUCAGCCACACUGGCACUGCGACACGGGCCAGACUCCUACGGGAGGCAGCAGUAAGGAAUAUUGCGCAAUGGGCGAAAGCCUGACGCAGCGACGCCGCGUGGGGGAUGAAGGUCUUCGGAUUGUAAACCCCUUUCGAGAGGGAAGAUGGAACGAGCAAUCGUUCGGACGGUACCUCCAGAAGCAG